GUCUACGGCCAUACCACCCUGAAUGCACCAGAUCUCGUCUGAUCUCAGAAGCUAAGCAGAGUCAGGCCUGGUUAGUACUUGGAUGGGAGGAGCCUGUAAAAAGCUCCAAACAGCAUAUCUAUCUGCCACUGACC
rnacentral:rRNA from 1 species